rnacentral:rRNA from 1 species
AGGGGGCGCAUCAAGUCUGCUGUUAAAGGCUGGAGCUUAACUCCGGUAGAGCAGUGGAAACUGGUGCGCUAGAGGGCGACAGGGGUAGAGGGAAUUCCCAGUGUAGCGGUGAAAUGCGUAGAGAUUGGGAAGAACACCGGUGGCGAAAGCGCUCUACUGGGUCGCACCUGACCCUCAGGGACGAAAGCUAAGGUAGCGAAAGGGAUUAGAUACCCCUGUAGUCUUAGCCGUAAACGAUGGAUACUAGGCGUGGCUUGUAUCGACCCAAGCCGUGCCGAAGCUAACGCGUUAAGUAUCCCGCCUGGGGAGUACGCACGCAAGUGUGAAACUCAAAGGAAUUGACGGGGGCCCGCACAAGCGGUGGAGGAUGUGGUUUAAUUCGAUGCAACGCGAAGAACCUUACCAGGGCUUGACAUCCCGCGAAUCUCGGUGAAAGCCGAGAGUGCCUUCGGGAGCGCGGAGACAGGUGGUGCAUGGCUGUCGUCAGCUCGUGUCGUGAGAUGUUGGGUUAAGUCCCGCAACGAGCGCAACCCUCGUCCUUAGUUGCCAGCAUUGAGUUGGGCACUCUAGGGAGACUGCCGGUGACAAACCGGAGGAAGGUGAGGAUGACGUCAAGUCAGCAUGCCCCUUAUGCUCUGGGCAACACACGUGCUACAAUGGUCGGUACAAAGGGCAGCAAACUCGCAAGAGCCAGCCAAUCCCAUAAAGCCGAUCCUAGUCCGGAUCGCAGUCUGC